AUUGAACGCUGGCGGAAUGCUUUACACAUGCAAGUCGAACGGCAGCACGGGAGCUUGCUCCUGGUGGCGAGUGGCGAACGGGUGAGUAAUACCUAGGAACAUGUCCAGUAGUGGGGGAUAACGCAGCGAAAGCUGUGCUAAUACCGCAUACGCCCUACGGGGGAAAGCGGGGGAUUCGCAAGGACCUCGCGUUAUUGGAGUGGCCUAGGCCUGAUUAGCUAGUUGGUGAGGUAAAGGCUCACCAAGGCGACGAUCAGUAGCUGGUCUGAGAGGAUGAUCAGCCACACUGGAACUGAGACACGGUCCAGACUCCUACGGGUGGCAG
rnacentral:rRNA from 1 species